UAGAGUUUGAUCAUGGCUCAGGAUGAACGCUAGCGGCAGGCUUAACACAUGCAAGUCGAGGGGCAUCGGGAGGGAAGCUUGCUUUCCUUGCCGGCGACCGGCGCACGGGUGAGUAACACGUAUGCAACCUGCCCUCUUCAGGGGGACAACCUUCCGAAAGGGAGGCUAAUCCCGCGUAUAUCGGUUUCGGGCAUCCGAGAUCGAGGAAAGAUUCAUCGGAAGAGGAUGGGCAUGCGGCGCAUUAGCUUGACGGCGGGGUAACGGCCCACCGUGGCGACGAUGCGUAGGGGUUCUGAGAGGAAGGUCCCCCACACUGGUACUGAGACACGGACCAGACUCCUACGGGAGGCAGCAGUGAGGAAUAUUGGUCAAUGGGAGAGAUCCUGAACCAGCCAAGCCGCGUGAGGGAAGACGGCCCUAUGGGUUGUAAACCUCUUUUGUCGGAGAACAAAACCCGGGACGUGUCCCGGACUGCGUGUAUCCGAAGAAAAAGCAUCGGCUAACUCCGUGCCAGCAGCCGCGGUAAUACGGAGGAUGCGAGCGUUAUCCGGAUUUAUUGGGUUUAAAGGGUGCGUAGGCGGUCCGUUAAGUCAGCGGUAAAAUUGCGGGGCUCAACCCCGUCGAGCCGUUGAAACUGGCAGACUUGAGUUGGCGAGAAGUACGCGGAAUGCGCGGUGUAGCGGUGAAAUGCAUAGAUAUCACGCAGAACUCCGAUUGCGAAGGCAGCGUACCGGCGCCCAACUGACGCUGAAGCACGAAGGCGUGGGUAUCGAACAGGAUUAGAUACCCUGGUAGUCCACGCAGUAAACGAUGAAUGCUAGUUGUCCGGGGCGAUUGAGUUCUGGGUGACACAGCGAAAGCGUUAAGCAUUCCACCUGGGGAGUACGCCGGCAACGGUGAAACUCAAAGGAAUUGACGGGGGCCCGCACAAGCGGAGGAACAUGUGGUUUAAUUCGAUGAUACGCGAGGAACCUUACCCGGGCUCAAACGCAGGAGGGAUGUUUUUGAAAGGAGGCAGCCAGCAAUGGUCUCCUGCGAGGUGCUGCAUGGUUGUCGUCAGCUCGUGCCGUGAGGUGUCGGCUUAAGUGCCAUAACGAGCGCAACCCCUACCUACAGUUGCCAUCGCGUGAUGGCGGGCACUCUGUGGGGACUGCCUGCGCAAGCAGUGAGGAAGGCGGGGAUGACGUCAAAUCAGCACGGCCCUUACGUCCGGGGCGACACACGUGUUACAAUGGCAGGUACAGCGGGAAGCCACCCGGCGACGGGGCGCGGAACCCGAAAACCUGUCUCAGUUCGGAUUGGAGUCUGCAACCCGACUCCAUGAAGCUGGAUUCGCUAGUAAUCGCGCAUCAGCCACGGCGCGGUGAAUACGUUCCCGGGCCUUGUACACACCGCCCGUCAAGCCAUGGAAGCCGGGGGUGCCUGAAGUGCGUGACCGCAAGGAGCGCCCUAGGGUAAAACCGGUGACUGGGGCUAAGUCGUAAUCAAGGUAACCGUAA
rnacentral:rRNA from 1 species